AGCUUUCUUUCCUGUUUCAAGGCAGCGAGAAGGGGACUGCAGAACAAAUAGGUCCCAGAUGACGUCCCUAAAUAAAGCAGGAUUUAUACCUACGACGGACAGAUACCUGUGUGGAUCCUCUGAUGUGGGAGUCAUCAACCCUGUCUCGUGGCUGAGGAAAACGAGGACCAAGGGUGAUGGGAGACAAAGCCCACAGAGAACAGCAGAGCGAGGCUGGAAUCCGGGUGCCUGGCCCGGUUCUCCCGAGCUGUGUGCUCAGCUCUGAGGCGCCUUCCUCCGGAAGCCGAUGAUGGAGGAAUGUCAUCUUAGAGACUGGUCUCUGCGGCCCUCCACAGUUCUCAUCUAGAAGAUCACACAUGUUGAGUGCUGCUGGCCACUAUCUCAGUCCUCAUUAUAUUAUACACACUGAGAAGGAGACCCCUCUUCUAAGUUCGUCUAGCAGAGACUUCUUAAAUUGCUCAAUACUGGAAGUCACUAGAGAUGUGUGUUCUUUAAUUUGAAGUUAAAAAUAAAAAAAAUACUUCAACUGUA